GACGAACCGAGCGAACGUUGUUCGGAAUCACUGGGCUUAAAGGGCGCGUAGGCGGACCGUCAAGUCCGGGGUGAAAUCUUUCGGCUCAACCGGAAAAGUGCCUUGGAUACUGACGGUCUCGAGGGAGGUAGGGGCAGGCGGAACUUCCGGUGGAGCGGUGAAAUGCGUUGAUAUCGGAAGGAACUCCGGUGGCGAAGGCGGCCUGCUGGACCUCUUCUGACGCUGAGGCGCGAAAGCUAGGGGAGCAAACGGGAUUAGAUACCCCGGUAGUCCUAGCCCUAAACGAUGGGUACUAGGUAGUGGACUUACAUGGGUUCACUGCCGAAGCAAAAGUGAUAAGUACCCCGCCUGGGGAGUAUGGUCGCAAGGCUGAA
rnacentral:rRNA from 1 species